CMUUUGUCUCGCCGCGCGCGCGCUAAUACGGAGGGUGCAAGCGUAAUCGGAAUACUGGCGUAAAGCGCACGCAGGYGGUUGCWUAAGUYAGAUGUGAAAUCCCCGGGCUYAACCUGGGARUGGCAUCUGAGACUGGUCAGCUWGAGUCUYGUAGAGGGGGGUAGAAUUUCCAUGUGUAGCGGUGAAAUGCGUAGAGAUGUGGAGGAAUACCGGUGGCGAAGGCGGCCCCCUGGACAAAGACUGACGCUCAGGUGCGAAAGCGUGGGGAGCAAACAGGAUUAGAUACCCUGGUAGUCCACGCUGUAAACGAUGUCKAUUUGAAGGUUGUKSCCUUGAGGCGUGKCUUUCGGAGCUAACGCGUUAAAUCRAYCSCCUGGGGAGUACGGCCGCMAGGUUAAAACUCAAAUGAAUUGACGGGGGCCCSCMCAAGCGGUGGARCAUGUGGUUUAAUUYGAUGCAACGCGRARAACCUUACCUACUCUUGACAUCCAGAGAACUUAGCARARAUGCUUUGGUGCCUUCGGGAACUMUGAGACAGGUGCUGGCAUGGCUGUCGUCAGCUCGUGUUGUGAAAUGUUGGGUUAAGUCCCGCAACGAGCGCAACCCUUUAUCYUUUGUUGCCAGCGAUUCGGUCGGGAACUCAAAAGGAGACUGCCGGUGAUAAACCGGGAGGAAGGUGGGGGAUGACGUCAAGUCAUCAUGGCCCUUACGGAGUURGGGCUACACACGUUGCUACAAUGGCGUAUACAAAGAAGAAGCGACCUCGGCGAGGAGCAASCGGAWCUCCAUAAAGUSCGUCSUAWUCSGGAUUGGAGUCUGCAACUCCGACUCCUUGAAGUCGGAAUCGCUUAGUAUUCGMGACAGAAUGCUCGGUGAUACUGCCCCCCGGMGAUAUUAAA
rnacentral:rRNA from 1 species